AAGGGCAGCCCAUCUGCUGGGGGCUCCAAGAACCACAGGUGCCACUUUGGAGAAUGUGGCUACAGCAAGAGGUGCCCUGCCCAUCUCCCCCUCCCCUGACCACCAGGCAGAAGAAACAGCUUGUUUACCAGGACAAAAGCCUGAAAUAGUAAUGGUGCCAGCCGGCUAAGUGUGACAGAUGGACAGGCAGUUUUCCGGGCUCGCCCUGCUGCCAGACUGAGGUCCCACCUUGGCUGCUCCGGCUCUGAGACGGGCUGCAGCUCAGAGAUGACCUGUCACUGCUACAGAGGCCUUCCGGCAAGAUGAAGAGGUGAAGUUGGGGAGGUGAUCUGAGCCAGGAAAGAGGGGCGACAUGAAAGGAGAAGGAAUCCCAGGAAGGAGACGGAGCUUCCGCAAAGGCAGAGAGGUGUGGGCAAGCAGGAGGGCUGGCAGCCGGGCAGCUCCUCCCCUGCACGCAGCUGCCUACCUGCUGAUGAGCUGCCCUUUGGCUUUGACCCCUCCGUUUCCCCCACUACCCCCACCCCUAUCGACUCCCAAGCUCCGCAAGUGUUCAGCUCUUAGAUGUCUCUGGUACCCCUCUUCUCUUCUCUAGCCACUGCCUGGGACUCAUAGCCCUUUCCGGCCAGGACUAAUUAAAACAGCUUCCUU